AAGUUGAAGCUAGUGUAAGAACUAGUGGAGGACUGAACCCAUAGGCGUUGAAAAGCCCCGGGAUGACUUGUGGAUAGGGGUGAAAGGCCAAUCAAACUUCGUGAUAGCUGGUUCUCUCCGAAAUAUAUUUAGGUAUAGCGUUGUGUCGUAAUAUAAGGGGGUAGAGCACUGAAUGGGCUAGGGCAUACACCAAUGUACCAAACCCUAUCAAACUCCGAAUACCUUAUAUGUAAUCACAGCAGUCAGGCGGCGAGUGAUAAAAUCCGUCGUCAAGAGGGAAACAACCCAGACUACCAGCUAAGGUCCCUAAAUCUUACUUAAGUGGAAAACGAUGUGAAGUUACUUAAACAACCAGGAGGUUGGCUUAGAAGCAGCCAUCCUUUAAAGAAAGCGUAAUAGCUCACUGGUCUAGUGAUUUUGCGCGGAAAAUAUAACGGGGCUAAAGUAAGUACCGAAGCUGUAGACUUGCACACAACUUAGAUUAUUUAAGUUUAGAAUAUGAGAAACUAAGUUAUAUGUUUAGUUAUAUUUUUACUGAUUUUUAUAGAGUAAAGAUAGAAAUAAAACUUAGUAAAAUCAGUAAAAAUAUUCUUAGGCUAAAGUUAAGUAGUUUAAGUUGUGUGCAAGUGGUAGGAGAGCGUUCUAUUUGCGUCGAAGGUAUACCGGUAAGGAGUGCUGGAGCGAAUAGAAGUGAGCAUGCAGGCAUGAGUAGCGAUAAUUAAUGUGAGAAUCAUUAACGCCGUAAACCCAAGGUUUCCUACGCGAUGCUCGUCAUCGUAGGGUUAGUCGGGUCCUAAGUCGAGUCCGAAAGGGGUAGACGAUGGCAAAUUGGUUAAUAUUCCAAUACCAACAUUAGUGUGCGAUGGAAGGACGCUUAGGGCUAAGGGGGCUAGCGGAUGGAAGUGCUAGUCUAAGGUUGUAGGAGGUUAUACAGGCAAAUCCGUAUAACAAUACUCCGAGAACUGAAAGGCUUUUUGAAGUCUUCGGAUGGAUAGAAGAACCCCUGAUGCCGUCGAGCCAAGAAAAGUUUCUAAGUUUAGCUAAUGUUGCCCGUACCGUAAACCGACACAGGUGGGUGGGAUGAGUAUUCUAAGGCGCGUGGAAGAACUCUCUUUAAGGAACUCUGCAAAAUAGCACCGUAUCUUCGGUAUAAGGUGUGGUUAGCUUCGUACUAGGAUUUACUCCGAAAGCGAAGAAACUUACAACAAAGAGUCCCUCCCGACUGUUUACCAAAAACACAGCACUCUGCUAACUCGUAAGAGGAUGUAUAGGGUGUGACGCCUGCCCGGUGCUCGAAGGUUAAUUGAUGGGGUUAGCAUUAGCGAAGCUCUUGAUCGAAGCCCGAGUAAACGGCGGCCGUAACUAUAACGGUCCUAAGGUAGCGAAAUUCCUUGUCGGUUAAAUACCGACCUGCAUGAAUGGCGUAACGAGAUGGGAGCUGUCUCAAAGAGGGAUCCAGUGAAAUUGUAGUGGAGGUGAAAAUUCCUCCUACCCGCGGCAAGACGGAAAGACCCCGUGGACCUUUACUACAGCUUGACACUGCUACUUGGAUAAGAAUGUGCAGGAUAGGUGGGAGGCUUUGAGUAUAUGACGCCAGUUGUAUAUGAGCCAUUGUUGAGAUACCACUCUUUCUUAUUUGGGUAGCUAACCAGCUUGAGUUAUCCUCAAGUGGGACAAUGUCUGGUGGGUAGUUUGACUGGGGCGGUCGCCUCCCAAAUAAUAACGGAGGCUUACAAAGGUUGGCUCAGAACGGUUGGAAAUCGUUCGUAGAGUAUAAAGGUAUAAGCCAGCUUAACUGCAAGACAUACAAGUCAAGCAGAGACGAAAGUCGGUCUUAGUGAUCCGGUGGUUCUGUGUGGAAGGGCCAUCGCUCAAAGGAUAAAAGGUACCCCGGGGAUAACAGGCUGAUCUCCCCCAAGAGCUCACAUCGACGGGGAGGUUUGGCACCUCGAUGUCGGCUCAUCGCAUCCUGGGGCUGGAGCAGGUCCCAAGGGUAUGGCUGUUCGCCAUUUAAAGCGGUACGCGAGCUGGGUUCAGAACGUCGUGAGACAGUUCGGUCCCUAUCUGCCGUGGGCGUAAGAAGAUUGAAGAGAUUUGACCCUAGUACGAGAGGACCGGGUUGAACAAACCACUGGUGUAGCUGUUGUUCUGCCAAGAGCAUCGCAGCGUAGCUAAGUUUGGAAAGGAUAAACGCUGAAAGCAUCUAAGCGUGAAGCCAACUCUAAGAUGAAUCUUCUCUAAGCUCUCUAGAAGACUACUAGUUUGAUAGGCUGGGUGUGUAAUGGAUGAAAGUCCUUUAGCUGACCAGUACUAAUAGAGCGUUUGGCUUAUCUUUAAUAAAGCAU
rnacentral:rRNA from 1 species